UGUCGGUACCGGAAGCGAUGCUCGAGCGCGGCAGGUGAAAAGAAGCCUGUUUGUUGGCGCUGAGGGUCGUCUGGAAAUGCUCCACGCACACAGGCGACCUGAUUUGUUGGGUGUUGCAUACCAAGGGACUUCAAUGGCAAUCAUAAUUAAAGUGAUAGGGUUGCAGUUCUGUGUCCAAUGUGAAAGCGACACACGAAAGUGGCCAGGAGCUUCAAAAGUCCCCAGUCGAGACAGCCCAGGAACUAGGGACUAGGUUCUGGAACUUUAGUGUGAAAGUGCCUAAUAUUCACCUGGAACCCUGGAUCUUUUUCCAAACCAGCACUGACAUUCUUCAUUUACCAUUGAAUUCUUAUCAGCACCUUGUCAAUGGAUGUCAUCACACUUUCUUAUCCCUGUUGCUGCCUAUUUAACAGUUUGGGUGUCUUGCAUCCCACUCACAGCCAUUCAGAGGCCUUCUUGUCUUCUUUAAGUGGUGCUUUUCCUUUGCCACAAAGAACCAAGCCAUACCCUGGAUAGACUGUUUUCCAUUGUGAAUUAUCUGAGUCAUACCUGAGCCAUGCCUGCACUGACAUGACCCUGCUUUCUAGGGCAAUGACUACUCAGAGCUGGUUGCAUCAGCACUAUGUGAUGGGUUGAAAUCCACAGUGAUUUGUGUUGAUAUGCCUGGAUUAUUUGAAGGAAAAAAGGGCAUAUUCUAUAUAUUAUUCAUUAUUAGUAGUAUCACACCUUGUGAUGUAUUGAUGCAUUCCCAAUAACUCAGAACUUAAAAAUUUCCAACCUUUUAAAAGAGUACUAGAGAAUGGUGGAACGUAAUGAAUUUGUAAUGCAAAUUUACUCAAGCUAAUGCUAAUUCUGCUAGCAUUUGAUGCUAAAAUAAUGUGGUGCUUUCCACUGAUGCUUCAGUUUUCCGUCACUGUCGCUCUCCAUACCUGGCUACACUUUACCAAGCCGACCAUUCUGCUGUGGAAAAUCAAAUCCAGCUGGAAUCGCUCUGUAACUAGUAUCUGUUCACAGUAAAGCUCUGGUAUGGCCUGGU